GUGUUCACUUUGGCAGCACAUAUACUAAAAUUGGAACUAUACAGAGAUUAGCAUGGUCCCUGCAUAAGGAUGACACACAAAUUCAUGAAGUAUUCCAUAGUUUU
rnacentral:snRNA from 1 species